rnacentral:lncRNA from 1 species
AUGGGAAGCACCGUUGCCAGCACCAUGAGGGUCAUAAAGAGGCCCAGUCACAUUGGGAUGGAAGUCCUCAUCCUCAGGCUCAGAGUGGUGAAUGGGAGGCGUGCCUUGCUCAGCCCCAGAGUGGAGACAAAUGGGUGUGGAAUUCACCAUAAUCUAUGGCAAGAAAUGGCCCUUACCCAUGGGAUUGAGAAUAUUAAUGCCAGGAAGAGGUCAGACAUUGAUAUUGAAGAGCAGACCUGUGUUGGAAUGAAUGCAGUUCUAGGGCGAGACUGGUGAAUGAAGAAGGGUAAGUAUGAAUGAGGGCUGACUAGAGCAUGACAGAGAAGAAGGUCAAAAGUACCACAUGUUAAGCUGAAGCCAAGGUUUUUGGGUUUUUUUUUCUCUUUUUUUGGCCAUCCCCAUGGCAUAUGGAGUUCCUGGGCCAGGGACCAGAUCUCAGCCAGAGCUGCUGGACCCUUAACCCACUUAACUCAUUGUGCCAGGCCAGGGAUUGAACCUGAGUGCUAGGGCUCCAGAGACACUUCUGAUCCUGCUGCACCAUAGCAGGAACUCCUGAAGCCAAGAGUCUAAUGAAAGAUUAAGGUGUUCUAAUAAAAGACAGCAAGUGCUCAGCAAAUGCUUCUCAACUGGAUAAAUCAGAAGAUGCUGGUCAGGGGAUCCUUGGCGGGUGAAGGUGCAGAGGCAACCAGCUUGGGAUGUUAAGGGUCUGCAGAGAGUGUAAUUGCGGCUUGAACUGGGGGCAUCCUUGGAAGAGUAGGUACCAAGCAACAGGAACAGAACACCGAAGCUGGGCUUGGUUAAGUGGGAUGGGGCAGAAACUGCUAAUGGCUUACCAGUAUCUACUCUCCCCAUUGUAACACAACCCAGAUUUUAAACUAGAUGACAAGGUGCCCAGUUGAAAGACAACAUUAGUCAGUCAUAUUUGCAGCUGGGAUGGCCACUAAGGUAUAAACAGAAGUUGGAACUAUAUUCAAUAUCCUGCGAUAAACCAUAAUGGAGAAGAAUAUGAAAAAGAAUAUAUAUGGUAUACAUAUGCAUAACUGAAUCACUUUACUGUAGAGCAGAAAUUAACAUAGCAUUGUAAAUCAACUACAUCUCAAUAAAUUUUUUUUAAAAAAGAGUUAUAAGUGGAGGUUGUUGCACGGGGGGUGGGGGGCGCUCUUCUGUGAAGAGGUGAUAGAAUACUAACAUACUUGUAUUUUUCCCUUUUCCCUUCUUCCUGUGCCUUCCUAGAAACGAAAGAUCAAUGUGAUGGUUAGAUCUUCAGCUAUUGAGUCAUGUAGUGAAUUUGAAAAUGGAAGCCAUAUCCUAAGGACAGCAGAACAAAAAGAUAGAGGAAACCUGGAACAUUGAUGACUCUGUAGCUCCCAUACCACUCAGAAUUCAGCCUUCCUUUGUAUGAGAAAUAAGAUAUUAUCUUAUUGAAGCUACUAUUAUUUCCUCCUUCACCUGGGACAUCACAAGCCUAGGGAUCUUUGGAAGGUUUCAAACAAAGAGUGAAGAAUUAGGGAUUUUAUUUGUUUAGUUUUUGGUUGUUUAUUUUUUAAGUUAAAUAGGCUGUAAAAUAAAAGUGUUUUAAUUUGAAAAAAUAGUCUCUGAGCUCUAUCAUAAAAGGAAUCAAGGGGUUAUAUAUUAUUGUAUUAUGUAUUUAUUUGGCUUAAACAAAAAGAGGGUUUUAUUUGCUUAUGUAAUUGAGAAAUCCAGAAGUUGGGUGGGCUUAGGUAAGGCCAUCUCUAGUAGCUGGAUAAGCCAACCAAGAUUCAGUGUCUUUCCAUUUCUUCUGAGUCUCCC